rnacentral:rRNA from 1 species
GCAACAGCUCAGAUUUGGAAUCUGGCCCCUAGCGCGCGAGUUGUAAUCUGGAGAGGAUGCUUCUGGCGCGGUGCCUUCCGAGUUCCCUGGAACGGGACGCCGGAGAGGGUGAGAGCCCCGUACGGUUGGACACCUAGCCUCUGUGAAGCUCCUUCGACGAGUCGAGUAGUUUGGGAAUGCUGCUCAAAAUGGGAGGUAAAUUUCUUCUAAAGCUAAAUAUUGGCCAGAGACCGAUAGCGCACAA